CAGAUACACUGAAUUUAUCCCGCUUCCCUGCUAAGCAGGUGGCAAAUUGCUUCUGUGCAGAAGUGCCCCUGUCCUGUCUGUGUGCCACACGCUCGUGUUUGUUCCACAGUUCUUCAAAAAUCUGUCUUGGAAGAAGUGUUCCAGAGGAGUAGCUCAUGAAAAGAUGGAUGUGAGUGAAAAUGAAGUGGUUUGUUCCAAGGAAUUCCUUCGUUGCACAGGAUGUGUCCCACGCUUUGUUGAAUUUCCCAUGAGCCCAGUUUUAGGCAAAAACGUAAAGCUACAUUCAGGAAACCAAGCUGUAAUUAUUUUUUUGAGUUGUCAGUAAACCAUGGUGAGAAAAAUUAUGCAAUAAUUUAUAAUCGGCUGUCCCUGAACAAUGGCAAAAGGCUUAACACUGUCCCAGCAAAAAGUUCAACCUGGAAAAGAGUGAGCUAAACCAGAUUAUCCCUGAUCCUCAUGCACUGGGCUGGGAGCGGGAAGAGAAGGUGUCCUCACCUGGAAGGUGUCCUCACCUGGAAGGUGUCCUCACCUGGAAGGUGUCCUCACCUGGAAGGUGUUCUCAUCUGGAAGGUGUCCUCACCUUGGGGAAAGGGAGCACAAGUCCCAAAGAGCCCGAGCCUGGGAGGCUGGCACAGGAACCGGGAAGGAAAAAGAAUCCUCUAGAAAAACUGGUGAAGAUGGGAAAACCCAGAAGAAAUUCCAGAGUGUGAUCGACCACGGGUGAUCCACAGCCAAGCACAGAAAUGCAGGGCUGUGGGACAAGGCCGGGGAUGAGGAACAAAUCCAGAACCAAGGCCAGGGAUGAGGAACAAAGCCAGGACCGAGGCCAGGGAUGAAGAACAAAGCCAGGACCGAGGCCAGGGAUGAGGGACAAAGCCAGGACCAAGGCCAGGAGCGAGGUCCUGCCAGCAGCCAGGGUCCCACGGUGCCAUUCCCUGGGGGCAGGAAGGGAUCAGAGCUCUGGACAGGUAAGAUGGGCUGACCAGCUGGAAACCCCUUCACCCUGGGAUU
rnacentral:lncRNA from 14 species